GAGUUUGAUCCUGGCUCAGGAUAAACGCUGGCGGCGCACAUAAGACAUGCAAGUCGAACGGACUUAACUCAUUCUUUUAGAUUGAGAGCGGUUAGUGGCGGACUGGUGAGUAACACGUAAGCAACCUGCCUAUCAGAGGGGAAUAACAGUGAGAAAUCAUUGCUAAUACCGCAUAAGCUAGUAGUAUCGCAUGAUAUAGCUAGAAAAGGAGCAAUCCGCUGAUAGAUGGGCUUGCGUCUGAUUAGCUAGUUGGUGGGGUAACGGCCUACCAAGGCGACGAUCAGUAGCCGGACUGAGAGGUUGAACGGCCACAUUGGGACUGAGAUACGGCCCAGACUCCUACGGGAGGCAGCAGUCGGGAAUAUUGCGCAAUGGAGGAAACUCUGACGCAGUGACGCCGCGUAUAGGAAGAAGGUUUUCGGAUUGUAAACUAUUGUCGUGAGGGAAGAAAUUGACAGUACCUCAGGAGGAAGCUCCGGCUAACUAUGUGCCAGCAGCCGCGGUAAUACAUAGGGAGCAAGCGUUAUCCGGAUUUAUUGGGUGUAAAGGGUGCGUAGACGGGAAAUUAAGUUAGUUGUGAAAUCCCUCGGCUUAACUGAGGAACUGCAACUAAAACUGAUUUUCUUGAGUACUGGAGAGGAAAGUGGAAUUCCUAGUGUAGCGGUGAAAUGCGUAGAUAUUAG
rnacentral:rRNA from 1 species